GGAUAACUACGCGAAAGCGUAGCUAAUACCGCAUACGCCCUACGGGGGAAAGCAGGGGAUCGCAAGACCUUGCACUAUUAGAGCGGCCGAUAUCGGAUUAGCUAGUUGGUGGGGUAACGGCUCACCAAGGCGACGAUCCGUAGCUGGUUUGAGAGGACGACCAGCCACACUGGGACUGAGACACGGCCCAGACUCCUACGGGAGGCAGCAGUGGGGAAUUUUGGACAAUGGGGGAAACCCUGAUCCAGCCAUCCCGCGUGUGCGAUGAAGGCCUUCGGGUUGUAAAGCACUUUUGGCAGGAAAGAAACGUCAUGGGCUAAUACCCCGUGAAACUGACGGUACCUGCAGAAUAAGCACCGGCUAACUACGUGCCAGCAGCCGCGGUAAUACGUAGGGUGCAAGCGUUAAUCGGAAUUACUGGGCGUAAAGCGUGCGCAGGCGGUUCGGAAAGAAAGAUGUGAAAUCCCAGAGCUUAACUUUGGAACUGCAUUUUUAACUACCGAGCUAGAGUGU
rnacentral:rRNA from 1 species